UACGUAGGGGGCAAGCGUUGUCCGGAUUUAUUGGGCGUAAAGCGCUCGCAGGUGGUCCGAUACGUCGUGCGUGAAAGACCCCGGCUCAACUGGGGAGUGUCGUGCGAUACGGUCGGACUGGAGGCCAGUAGGGGGAUGCGGAAUUCCGGGUGUAGUGGUGGAAUGCGUAGAGAUCCGGAGGAACACCAGCGGCGAAGGCGGCAUCCUGGACUGGUCCUGACACUCAUGAGCGAAAGCGUGGGGAGCGAUCCGG
rnacentral:rRNA from 1 species